AUGAGUGACCAGCAGGGUCAUCCGACCAUGCAGAGUAUAGCCGACUAUUUGGCGCAACUGCUCAAAGACAGGAAACAGCUCGCCGCCUUCCCGAACGUCUUCAUUCACGUCGAACGGCUCAUAGAUGAAGAAAUCGCCAGGGUUCGGGCAAAUUUAUUCCAAAUAAACGGAAUGAAGAAGGAGCCGCUAGUUUUGCCAGAAGCACAGGGCCCGCCCACAACACUCACAGAAAAAGUCUACGUUCCUGUAAAAGACCACCCAGAUUUCAACUUCGUCGGAAGGAUUCUGGGCCCGCGCGGCAUGACCGCAAAGCAGUUAGAGCAAGAGACUGGGUGCAAAAUCAUGGUGCGCGGCAAGGGCUCCAUGAGAGAUAAGAAAAAGGAAGAACAAAAUCGGGGCAAACCAAACUGGGAACACCUGAACGACGAGCUCCACGUACUACUCACAGUUGAAGACACGGAAAAUCGGGCUCGAGUCAAAAUGGACAGAGCCGUCGAGGAGGUUAAAAAGCUGCUCAUACCGGCCGAUGGCGAGGAUGAGCUGAAAAAGCGGCAGCUCAUGGAGCUGGCCAUUAUCAACGGGACGUACCGUGACUCGAGCGCCAAGGCGGCGGUGCAAGCAGGUGAGGCCGCGCAUGUGGCAACGGUGUGCGACGAGGAGUGGCGGCGGGUGGCGCUUGCGGCGUCCGAGACGCAGCGGAUGCUGUCCCCCGGCAUGCAGACGCUCACGGGGCCGAUGAGGAACCACGCGGCGCCGCUGGGCGCGCCCCUCAUCCUCUCGCCGCGCAUGCAGGUGCCCACGUCGGCGGCCUCCCUGCUCAACGGCUCGGCCCAGGCCCAGGGCCUGAUCCCCGGCCACGAGCACCACGGCCUCAUCUACGCGUCGCCGUACGACUUCAGCAACUACCUGGCGGCCGCCGCCUCCGCCUCGCCCCUCAUGACGGACUACAGCGAACACACGGCGGUGGGUCACGGUUGGGGUGUGAACCAUUGGUUGCACGCACGAGGCUGGCCUGACCAGCGAUAAUCCAAGGCAGACUCCUGGCGCAGUUCCACCAGAGCAGCUCAUGAGCACAGGACUCCUCCUACUGUUCAUGUCCUGUGCUCACAUCCUUCUGUUGGUGAACUUCUUGCUGUUUUCAAUGGCACUUUUUCAUCCAUGGGAUAUUCCAGUGACGACCACCACUAUGAUUUCACAUCGACUUUCUUUCUUACUUCAUUACCAGUGAAAGGUAUGAUGUAUAAUGUGAAGUGUGCAAUGCUGCCAGUUUUACCAGAAGACAAAGCCAGCUUUUUUAUAAACUGUAGUGACCUAUGAAAUUUGUUUUAAAUGUAGUUUUCUAUAGAUAGCACUUUCCUUAUUCCAGUGCACGAAUCUUCCUUCUAGAUUUUUUAAAUAAAGUAGUUAAUGAGUAUGUUAAAGAAUUUUCUGUAAGUAAAUUUGUAAAUAUUAUUAUCUAUGUAGAUUUGCCAAGUUGAACUGGGUCUAUUUUAAAAAUUAGAUUAUUGUUCUUUUCAUUUAUGAAUUGUGUGUGCCGUUCUUUGAUGUGUACAUUCUGAUGUAUACUCACGUGUAUAGAGUUUGUAUUAUAUUUUCUAUAUAAGUUGAAUUAUUGUGAUUGUUAUUUAUUUGAUUAGUGCUAUUGCAAUAGUGCCUUUUACCAAUCCCUUUACAGAAGAAAUUUGUCCACUUCUGAUUCUGUUUCUGCUUAAAUAUGGUCACUGCAUUGAGGUGGAGAUGGUUUAUAGUUUCUUUAUGCACCUGUAAAAAUUCUCCUUUUAUCAAAGAAUUUCAUGUGAUCUUCCUCUGAUACUUUUAGAAAGGAUCAAUUUUCUGAAAAAAAAAGAAAAAAAAAGGACAAAAUACGAAUCCUCGCUUCUUUGUGGAUACUUAUCCGAGGGACUGAAAUGCACAUCUAAGUGCUCGGAUAAAGGUAUUAUUUUAGCAGAUCAAAAUUCAGGAAAUCGAAUCAAAGUUUCUUAUGUAUUUCCUAGAAAUAUAGACUGUAGGAGUAGGGAGAAGAAUAAGACAGACAAUGUGGAGAAAUUUACAUUGUUUCUGUAAUGCAGCGAUCCGAGCUUUCAAAGACUUAUAUAUUGUUACAAUUGCAAAAUUUUUCUAUGGUUGUUUGUUUCAUAGUUUUAUUCAGUUGACAAGAAUUGAUUAUCUAUUUCCACUUUUCAUGUAAAUUAUGUGCUGUACCCAGUACAGCUAUUAACUGACUGGCAGUUUGGAUAGACAUGCAUUGAUUUGCUCUAUAGUUUACUCUUCCCAGUGCCAUACUGCUUUCUGUUUCAACUUCUGCAUGAAAUUUUUACUGCAGCUAUUAUGAAGGCUUUGAAAACAUUUUUCUCUCUUUUUUUAUUUUUUAUUAGUGAAGCUAGAACAAAGUAUUUGAAUACGAGAGAAGACAUUAUGUCACCUGUUACCAGUGUUAUUUAUAUGUAGUUUUGUUGUGUGUUUGUGUAUGUGUGUGUGCCUUUUUUCCAGUGAUCAAUUAUGUUUUUUUUGUUGAUGUUUUGUAUUUGUGUAGAAUGGAGCAUGAAUUUUGCAUUUGCCAGAAAGCAGCUCUUGUGAUGUCAUUAUCAAAUGCUGCAUAGCCAUAGAUGUGCCUGAAGCAGAAAUACUGCCUUUUUUGCCAUGGGAUUCUUAUUUCUUUUCUUUUUAAAUGUUCCAUUUUACAUAAACGUGAUUGAAAACGUCCCAACAUGGUCAACUUUUACUUAAAUCUGUUCCUCUUCAGAAAUUUUUUUAAAACCCUCCUUUGAGUUAACGGAAAUCUAAUACGCAAGUUUAUGAAAUUUUUGAAAUGCCAGUUGGGACGUUGCAAACUUUCUGUGUGUCUGCGAUGUAUGCUUUAAAUAUGAGUUUUGUGCCUGCAAAACAGGAGCACUAGCGGGCGUUAAGCAGCGCAGACACUUGGGACAGAUGAGAGAACAUCCCUACCAAAGGGCGGGGCCUCCUCUUGUGAAUUAGACCCAAGUGUGCCAAGAACAAAACCUGGCCUGUAGGCUUCGAGUGCUAACACAGGAAUGGUGUCGAGCGAUCACAAGCAACCGUCCAUCCAAACAUCCUCCCAGUGUAAAGUAACAAGCAACUGCACGCAUCAAGAUGGUUGGUUGGUCCACACUUUAUACUAACCAGCGUCACUUGUUGGGGACAGCACUACCUGCAUGGGUAGGUGUCUUGUGUUCUCUGCUACCUUUAACAUCACUUCUACUAAAAAGGAAUAAGUGGCACCAUAAUUUGAGUGAAUGUGUGAAUUUAGUGAUGAGCAUCAGAAGCAACUCAAGCCAAGCAUAACAAUGUGCCAAUGAUAUAUGCUUAAUUAAGUACAAAAGUCUUAACGAAAAUUAAUUUAUUAGUAUGAUGGAAGACAGGUGUGGACUCACCUACAAGCAACAGUAUUGUAGUGUCUCAUGUCCUUACUAGUCUUCAAAAGCAAUAUUUAAGUUUUAAGAUGAAAAGAUGUUGACAGUUAUGAGACACAUUUACAUUGAAAUAUCAGUAGGUGUGUGUCCGACUCAUACUUACUUCGACAAUUCUCAUUUUAUCUUUGAAUAUGAAGACUCAGGAAAAUAGAUUCCACAGCCAUACCAAAGCACAUUUUUCGUUUUUGUAAUGUGCAACUUGACUCAAAUCAACUUUUCAUGUGGUCAUUUUUGUAAUGGUGCAUUCAUUGCAUGCUGUUGGGAUUAUUUUGUGUUUCAAACUAGUUUUAUGGAGGGCCCAUUCUGUUAACAUAGAAAGUUUUCUCAAUAUGAUGAAUCUCCUAGGUAUGAAGCUCGCCAUGAGCGUAUUAGCUAGAACUUUAAAUGAAUUUGAUGUGUUGAAAUCACUGAACACAUAUGCAUAACGUACUUAUAUACUUCACAUCCAGUUGAAACUAAUAUUCUGUACUUCAUUGGUCUCUUUUUUGCUAUUUAAUGGAGUUUCAAAAGUUUCAAUGAAUUGUGAUUUCUUUAGAUGCUGUUUGAAUCAGUAAUGCUCUAUCUGAUCAACAAGAUUGGUCACUUCUUCGAUUAAUUUGAAAAUUUGCACAUAAAUCCAUCAAAUUAAUAUUUUCCAUGGCUACCAUAAAUACAUCUAUAAAGUAUCUAUAAGCACUCAUAUCUACAUUGUUCUGAAUGUUUUAGUUUAUUCUUAAUUUUUUUUUGUUGUUGGUAGCUCGUGAGCUCAUGUUGCUUGUAUUACAUUAUUUAUUAUAUUAGAAGACUGGUUCUUGUACAUAUAAAACAAAAUGUAAGGAACCUACCCUUGAUAAAGAGGCAGCUAUAUACAAAGUACUAGCUGUUGUUGCUACUUUAGAAAGAAAAACACGUAUUCAUGUUGCCAUUAUGUUCAGUACGUAAUGUGUUUCCAUUUGGUUACAAAACAUUUGAUGUUAGGUAUUUAUUAAUGUAUUGCACUGAUCUUUUCAACUGUGUUGCUUUUUUUCCCAUUGUUUUUAUUUUUAAUUUAUAAGCCAUUUAUUUUCGUUUGUUAAAAUAAGCUGUGAGUAGGCUUUUGAAACUUUUGCUUCACUGCUUAAAAACAAAAACUUGCCAGUCCAUGACUGCACAAGAGAAAAAGUAGUCAAAUGGUGCUAAGGUGUAAAACAUUAGGAUUUAUGUUUAUGUCACACAUUUCUGUGCAGCAAUUUCAUCAACACAAAAAUGCCACCUUUUAGAACAGGAAAAGGGAUUAUGAGAUGAGGAUUAAGGAGGGUGCAAAUUCACAGACCAAAGAAAUCAAGAACAAGCCUUUGCACUCAUAAUUGUACCACAUCACAUUUAUGUAUUGAUUAGCAACUUCCCCAUUGUCACAAAAACUUCGGUAGCUCAUGAAUUUGUAUUAAUUUUGUAAUGAUCUUUUUGAAUAUUGUAUAUUGGACAAAAAUCAAAUAAGCCAAACAAUUUUGGCAUCCUUACACACUCAAAAAGUAGAGUGAAUAUUCUCAAAAUAGAAUGCGUUUAGAAAAUGUAGGUUUUAAACAGGGACCGAAACAUUUCUUAUUAACUGUACGUUUAACCACAUGAAGGCUAUGCUGAACUCACUUUCAUUGUGUCCCAUUGAUCUUGCUUGGCAUUGGUACUUAAAUUUGUUUGUUCUUCCUUGUGGGAUUACAGUUCAAUCUAUUGUUUGUUUUGUCUAAGUUGAUUUAUUGUUUUUGUCUAAGCCCCACUAUUAAAGCCACUUGUUGCCAUACAGCAUGCAGUUUGAAAUAUGUUCAUUUCAAUUGUUUGCUGAAUUGUAUUAUACUUAAGUUUGAGAAAGAACACUAAAUUAAGUUCAAGCAAAAAAUUUGACAGAUUUUGAAGAGUAAGACGUAGAAGACAGAUCUUGUAUUUUUUUUUUCUUUUCGGUUUUUAAUGAUUAAUUUUUCUUAAGUUAGUGUAGAUAGCUGCAAAGAGUUCUGGAGUCAUAAUUUCAAUUAUAUUGCUGGCGCAGAAAGUUGAUUCCUUCUUUUGUCAGUUACUGCAUUAAGAGAAAGGAGGGUUGUUGAUUGUCUAUUGUUUAUUUAUUACCAUUAGUAUCUUUGUUUAAAAAAAAGUCUAUGAGAUUAUAGUUUGUUGUUGGAACUUGCUUUUUUGUAUGAAAAAAGCAAAUAUUAUUGACUGUGAUUGUUCCACUCUUUGUGGGCAAUUAAUUGUUUGCCUUAGAGAGUAAGAAACGCAAGAAAACUCGGUAAAAAGAGUGUCUCAGCUACUUUUUCCUGUCUCGAUGUUGAUAUAUUUUUCUUCUUUUUGUAUGUGUUACAUUGAAAUACAUAGUUUAAAAUUAA
rnacentral:misc_RNA from 1 species